AGACACAUUUGGGCAGUGGCACAGUGAUGUGUUGGAACAUGCCUACUACUUGAUAAAAAGAGGGAGGCUGCCUGGAAAACAGCCUGGAUACACUCAUGGUGGACCAGGGAGGCGUCAGGAAGUGAAAGUGGAAAGAGAGGAGGUGAUGGAAGUUCUCUUGGGAUGCUGGAGAUGAGGCCAAGACUUCGCACAAGCACAGCGAGCACUCUACCACAGACCCAUAGCCCCACCUUUUGGCACUUCUGAAGAGACUCUGGUGGAACCAAGUCAGGCAAUUUAAGAGCACCGACUGCUCUUCCAAAGGUCCUGAGUUCAAAUCCCAGCAACCACAUGAUGGCUCACAGCCAUCUGUAAUGGGAUCUGAUGCCAUCUUCUGGUGCAUCUGAAGACAGCUACAGUGUACUUAGAUAUAAUAAUAAUAAAUAAAUCUUAAAAAAAAACAAA